CUUUGCUAAGUACUUUGACAAUUUAUUCACUUGUUAAGAUAUAAAAUGGAAAUACCAGUUUUUACCAAAAGCAUUUUAAAAUCAGUUAUACCUUCAAAAUGUUGAGUAUUUCUGGGCUUAUGUGUAUUCAAAAGUCAGAUAUUUAGUUUCAUUUAUAUCUGAUGUAAUGAAGUGCCGAGCUUGAGUUUCUGUUUUGUAUUGUCUAAGAUGGAAAGGGACAUUUGUUAAGCUUUUAUCUAUGUAUUAUAACCAGAAUAAUUCACAAUAUCAGGCUAA
rnacentral:lncRNA from 1 species